rnacentral:lncRNA from 1 species
GGGCAGAUCUAAAAGCUUCCCUACCGCGGCCCAGGCGGUCGAUAGCAGACUCCCAGGCUCCGUUUCUGCCUGCCGGGCAGCCCGGGCCCUUCCCGCCAGCCCAGCCCCCGGGAGGGGACUCGAGUUGGGCGGAGCCUCCUCCGCUGCCGCACGCCGGGCUCUGCUCUCCCUCCCCGGAUGCCCCUCCUUCUCCAUCCCCAGAAGUCUCAGCCACUGAGAUUCCCCUUGUCCCGGAGGCUGGCUGGAGGGGAAGACCCAGGUGACUGCGCUUUGGAGGCUGGACCAUCGUGGGGCCUGUCUGUGCCCACUUUUACCCCAUUCAAGAGUUACCAGGGCCAGGCGCAGUGGCUCAGGCCUGCAAUCCCAGCACUUUCGGAGGGCAAGACAAGAGGAUCGCUUGAGCCCAGGAGCUUGAGAACAGCCUGGGCAACAUGAGCCAGCCAGGCCCCUGGGCCUGGAGCAUCCACAGGAGGAAAGUACAAGAACCCCAGCACCCUGCCAAGCAGCAGGGACUCUUCAGAUGCCCGAGGGCUGGUUUGCCCAGAGCCAGCUGGGAAGGACUCAUGGUGACCAGAAGGGGAAACUGAGGCACUGCUGAGCACCAACAGUCCUGGAGAGCUUUAAGAAUGGUUGCCAUCUGAGGCCAGGCACAGUGGUUCAUGCCUAUAAUCCCAGCACUUUGGGAGGCCAAGGCAGGCGGAUCACUUGAGGUCAGGAGUUCGAGACUUGUCAGGCCUCUGAGCCCUAGCUAAGCCAUCAUAUCCCCUGUGACCUGCACGUAGACAUCCAGAUGGCCUGAAGCAACUGAAGAUCCACAAAAGAAGUGAAAAUAGCCAGUUCCUGCCUUAACUGAUGACAUUCCACCAUUGUGAUUUGUUCUGGCCCAACCCUAACUGAUCAAUGUCUUUGUGACAAUACACCCUCCCCACCCUUGUGAUAAUGUACUUUGUGAUACUCCCCCGCCCUUAUGAAUGUACUUUGUACCAUACACCUUCCCCACCCUUGAGAAGGUACAUUGUAAUAUUCUCCCUGCCCACCUUGAGAAUGUACUUUGUACAAUCCACCCCCUCCCUGCAAAAAGAUUGCUCCUGGCCAGGCGCCGUGGCUCACGCCUGUAAUUCCAGCACUUUGGGAGGCCGAGGUGGGUGGAUCACGAGGUCAGGAGAUGGAGACCAUCCUGGCUAACACUGUGAAACCCGGUCUCUACUAAAAAUUAACAAAAAAUUAACCAGGCGUGGUGGCAGGCGCCUGUAGUCCCAGCUACUCAGGAGGCAGAGGCAGGAGAAUGGCGUGAACCUGGGAGGUGGAGCUUGCAGUGAGCCGAGAUCGCACCACUAUACUCCAGGAAAAAAAAAAAAUUGCUCCUAACUCCACCACCUAUCCCAAACCUAUACGAACUAAUGAUAAUCCCACCAC